UACGUAGGCAGCGGGCGUUGUUCGGAAUUACUGGGCGUAAAGAGUGUGUAGGCGGUGUUCCCAGUCUGUUGUGAAAUCUCCCGGCUUAACUGGGAGGGUGCAGCGGAAACUAGAAUGCUAGAGGGUGGGAGAGGUAAGCGGAAUUCCUGGUGUAGCGGUGAAAUGCGUAGAUAUCAGGAGGAACACCUGUGGUGUAGACAGCUUACUGGACCACUUCUGACGCUGAGACACGAAAGCGUGGGUAGCAAACAGG
rnacentral:rRNA from 1 species